rnacentral:rRNA from 1 species
UGUUAGCAUUGAGGAAUAUUGGUCAAUAGCCUAACGGCUGAACCAGCAACUUGGAGGAAUGGAUAGCGAAAGCUAAUUGUAUUAAUACAAUAUUAACUCUGUUAAAURAAAUUCUAGAUAUAUUUAUGAUUAUGACAUUCUAUAUCUAUAAGUCUUGACCAAGUCACGUGCCAGCAGUCGCGGUAAUACGUGGAAGACGAGUGUUAUUCAUCUUUAUUAGGUUUAAAGGGUACCUAGACAGCUAAUCAAGCUUACUCGCGGUAAGGACUAAUUAUGCUAGAGUUUAUGUAAGGAGAGUAGUACGGUGAGUGUAAAGAUAAAAUUUUUUGAGACCACUUAGAUACUGAUAAAGGCGAAAGCGGCCUCUUAUGUAAAACUGACGUUGAGGGACGAAGGCUCGAUGAAAGAACAGGAUUAGAUACCCUAAUAUUGUGAGCAGACAAUGAUGAAUGUCAUAUGUAAGAUAUUAAUUUUAAAUUAAGUGUUUUAUGUAUAAAUGAAAGUGUAAGCAUUCCACCUCAAGAGUAAUGUGGCAACACAUAAACUGAAAUCAUUAGACCGUUUCUGAAACCAGUAGUGAAGUAUGUUGUUUAAUUUGAUAGUCCACGUAAAACCUUACCACAAUUUGUAUAUUUGUAAAUAUUUUUUACAAAUACAAGCGUUGCACGGCUGUCUUCAGUUAAUGUCGUGAGACUUUGGUUAGUUCCAUUAAAUUAACGUAAACCCCUUGCUUUAUUUUAUUAUAUAAAGUAGUUCGCCGUUAUAAUGGUUAUGAUAUAAGGGAUUAAGA